GACGUAGGGUGCGAGCGUUGUCCGGAUUUAUUGGGCGUAAAGGGCGCGUAGGCGGCUUGGCAAGUGGAUGGUGAAAUCCCUCGGCUUAACCGAGGAACUGCCGUCCAAACUGCUUUGCUUGAGACCGGGAGAGGUGAGUGGAAUUCCCAGUGUAGCGGUGAAAUGCGUAGAUAUUGGGAGGAACACCAGUGGCGAAGGCGGCUCACUGGACCGGUACUGACGCUGAGGCGCGAAAGCGUGGGGAGCAAACGGG
rnacentral:rRNA from 1 species